CUGCAUGGAGCCGGCCUUGAAAUACCACCCUUUAAUGUUUGAUGUUCUAACGUGGACCCGUGAUCCGGGUUGCGGACAGUGUCUGGUGGGUAGUUUGACUGGGGCGGUCUCCUCCUAAAGAGUAACGGAGGAGCACGAAGGUUGGCUAAUCCUGGUCGGACAUCAGGAGGUUAGUGCAAUGGCAUAAGCCAGCUUGACUGCGAGCGUGACGGCGCGAGCAGGUGCGAAAGCAGGUCAUAGUGAUCCGGUGGUUCUGAAUGGAAGGGCCAUCGCUCAACGGAUAAAAGGUACUCCGGGGAUAACAGGCUGAUACCGCCCAAGAGUUCAUAUCGACGGCGGUGUUUGGCACCUCGAUGUCGGCUCAUCACAUCCUGGGGCUGAAGUAGGUCCCAAGGGUAUGGCUGUUCGCCAUUUAAAGUGGUACGCGAGCUGGGUUUAGAACGUCGUGAGACAGUUCGGUCCCUAUCUGCCGUGGGCGCUGGAGAACUGAGGGGGGCUGCUCCUAGUACGAGAGGACCGGAGUGGACGCAUCACUGGUGUUCGGGUUGUCAUGCCAAUGGCACUGCCCGGUAGCUAAAUGCGGAAGAGAUAAGUGCUGAAAGCAUCUAAGCACGAAACUUGCCCCGAGAUGAGUUCUCCCUGACCCUUUAAGGGUCCUGAAGGAACGUUGAAGACGACGACGUUGAUAGGCCGGGUGUGUAAGCGCAGCGAUGCGUUGAGCUAACCGGUACUAAUGAACCGUGAGGCUUAACCUU
rnacentral:rRNA from 1 species